rnacentral:rRNA from 1 species
UAGGGAAUCUUCGGCAAUGGACGAAAGUCUGACCGAGCAACGCCGCGUGAGUGAAGAAGGUGUUCGGAUCGUAAAACUCUGUUGUUAGAGAAGAACAAGGACGUUAGUAACUGAACGUCCCCUGACGGUAUCUAACCAGAAAGCCACGGCUAACUACGUGCCAGCAGCCGCGGUAAUACGUAGGUGGCAAGCGUUGUCCGGAUUUAUUGGGCGUAAAGCGAGCGCAGGCGGUUUCUUAAGUCUGAUGUGAAAGCCCCCGGCUCAACCGGGGAGGGUCAGUGGAAACUGGGAGACUUGAGUGCAGAAGAGGAGAGUGGAAUUCCAUGUGUAGCGGUGAAAUGCGUAGAUAUAUGGAGGAACACCAGUGGCGAAGGCGGCUCUCUGGUCUGUAACUGACGCUGAGGCUCGAAAGCGUGGGGAGCAAACAGG